GUUUUUUUUCUUUUUAUCAUUUUUAUUUUAAUAUUAUUUCUGCUUGGAGAAUGAAUGUACCGCUGAAGUGGAAUCGUCAGGUACACUUUCUAAUUGUUUUUGUCUUGUUCGCGAUUCUGGUAUUGAAUUGCCAGAAAUUGUGUUGGGGUGGUCAUUUCAAAUAAAUAUAUCAUUUCCCGCUCCUCAAGUAUAGGCAACCAAUAUAACAUCUUUUCUCGUCAAAUUGUCAAGUCGCAAAAACUUGUUUUGAAUCCCAUCUGUGAAAUAUAGAUACAUCAAUUGGAACUCAUUUUUCGGUAUUUCUCGAGUGUAGAGCAUCUCAGCUAAUCCGAAUAAAGAUUUUCUGUCUUCGACCAUUUGGGUUGGAUUAUUUGGAAAAUUGCAGAUAAUAUCAUAAUUUUGCUGAUUAUUUUGGAUAUUUAUAUCACGUUUUGGAAUCAAGCAGAAUUUCCGUCUUGUACGGGAUAAAAAUUCUACAUACUCUGAUAGAAAUUUCUAUAAAAGCCGCCCUCCAUCUUAGGCUUUCAAUUCUUUCAAUUCUUCUGAAUAUUUUACUGAUUCGAUAUAUAAGUGGAUCAACCUGAAUUAUUGGCGUGUUGGUUGAUGCAAAGACAUCCCUUGGACAUAGGCACCCCCAUUGCCUUAUACUGAGGGUUGGAAUAACUUCUAACCGGUUGGGAGCGAACCGAAUUCAACAUUUCCA